ACGGGAGGCAGCAGUAGGGAAUAUUGGUCAAUGGGGGAAACCCUGAACCAGCGACGCCGCGUGAGUGAAGAAGUAUUUCGGUAUGUAAAGCUCUAUCAGCAGGGACGAUAAUGACGGUACCUGACUAAGAAGCCCCGGCUAACUACGUGCCGGCAGCCGCGGUAAUACGUAGGGGGCAAGCGUUAUCCGGAUUUAUUGGGUGUAAAGGGAGCGUAGGUGGCCAUGCAAGUCAGAUGUGAAAACCCGGGGCUCAACCCCGUGACUGCAUUUGAAACUGCGUGGCUGGAGUACAGGAGAGGUAAGCGGAAUUCCUAGUGGAGCGGUGAAAUGCGUAGAUAUUAGGAGGAACACCAGUGGCGAAAGCGGCUUACUGGACGGAAACUGACACUGAGGCUCGAAAGCGUGGGGAGCAAACAGGAUUAGAUACCCUGGUA
rnacentral:rRNA from 1 species